CUCUUGCAGUUUGACAGAUCUACCUGGAGGCUGAAAGAGUCUAUGCAGCCUGUCUCUAAACAUAGCCAAACAUAGAAAAGGCAUAGUAAAAAUACAGCUAGUAGGAACUACCUGGAGUUAGAAUGGGCUCUCAGACAGAUAAUGAGCUCUCUCAUCACACUCAUUUUCAAACAAAGGCUUGCCAAACCUCCUAAAGGUCUCCUACAACCCCAGAUCCCAUUUAACCCAAAUGAUAGUCUUUACAGGACCCUAAAACACCCUA
rnacentral:lncRNA from 1 species